AGUGAACGCUGGCGGUAGGCCUAACACAUGCAAGUCGAACGGCAGCACAGUAAGAGCUUGCUCUUACGGGUGGCGAGUGGCGGACGGGUGAGGAAUACAUCGGAAUCUACUUUUUCGUGGGGGAUAACGUAGGGAAACUUACGCUAAUACCGCAUACGACCUACGGGUGAAAGCAGGGGAUCUUCGGACCUUGCGCGAUUGAAUGAGCCGAUGUCGGAUUAGCUAGUUGGCGGGGUAAAGGCCCACCAAGGCGACGAUCCGUAGCUGGUCUGAGAGGAUGGACCGCCAAAAUGGAACCGGGACCCGGUCCAGACUCCGACGGGGGGCAGCAGGGGGGAAUAUUGGAAAAUGGGGGGAAGCCUGAUCCAGCCAAACCGGGGGGGGGAAAAAGGCCUUCGGGUUGUAAAGCCCUUUUGUUGGGAAAAAAAAGCAGCAGGUUAAUACCCCGGUGUUCUGACGGUAACCAAAGAAUAAGCCACGGCUAACUUCG
rnacentral:rRNA from 1 species